GCGCCUGUGGCGGGCCAGGCACGGGACGGUAAAGAUACUUCGCAGGCAGCAGUCCCGAUGUACGGUCCGGUCAAUUCAGUAAUUUACUGAAUUUAAUUCCUUCU
rnacentral:sRNA from 1 species